GGCGACCGGCGGCACGGGUGACGUAACACGUAUCCAACCUGCCGCUUACUCGGGGAUAGCCUUUCGAAAGAAAGAUUAAUACCCGAUGGUAUAAAGAGUUCGCAUGUUCUCUUUAGUUAAAGAAUUUCGGUAAGCGAUGGGGAUGCGUUCCAUUAGAUUGUUGGCGGGGUAACGGCCCACCAAGUCUACGAUGGAUAGGGGUUCUGAGAGGAAGGUCCCCCACAUUGGAACUGAGACACGGUCCAAACUCCUACGGGAGGCAGCAGUGAAGGAAUAUUGGUCAAUGGACGAGAGUCUGAACCAGCCAAGUAAGCGUGAAGGAUGACUGCCCUAUGGGUUGUAAACUUCUUUUAUAAGGGAAUAAAGUGAGGGACGUGUCCCUUUUUGUAUGUACCUUAUGAAUAAGGAUCGGCUAACUCCGUGCCAGCCGCCGC
rnacentral:rRNA from 1 species